GCUCGAGGCGUCUGCCGCACCUCAGCCCACGACCUGCCCCGCUGGGAGGUGCGGGCCGCUGGCCAGGCCCUGACCGCAACCUGGCCCAGAGGCCCCAGCCCUCAGGCAAGGUUCUCCGGUGAAGCCACAGCCUGGCCACCUGUCUUGAUCUCCCCACCGAGAAGGCCCCGCCCCUCCCGCUGCAGCCCCACAGCAUGCAGCCCCAGGAGAGCCACGUCCACUAUAGUAGGUGGGAGGACGGCAGCAGGGACGGAGUCAGCCUAGGGGCUGUGUCCAGCACAGAAGAGGCCUCACGCUGCCGCAGGUGAGGGGCCUGAGGGCAGCCUGCCAGCCAUAGCAGGCUGGUGUCUCCCUCCAGAGACGCCUGCCCUAACCCCUGCUACCGGCCCCAUCACCCUCCACCCCAUCCUGGCUGGGAGCCCACGGUCCAGCAGCUCAGCAAACCGCAGCCUUUGGCCUUCCCUCUGGUUGGCUGUGGGCGGGGAGAGCUU
rnacentral:lncRNA from 1 species